GGCCCUGACUCUACCAUGGGCUGCAGGCUGCUGGGCUGUAUGGUCCUCUGUCUCCUGAGAGCAGUCUCCAUGGACACUGGAAUUACCCAGAUACCAAAAUUCCUGGUCAUGGGGAUGACGAAUAAGAAGUCUUUGAGAUGUGAACAACGUCUGGGACAUAAUUAUAUGUGUUGGUAUAGACAGAAGGCUAAGGAGCCACCAGAGCUCAUGUUUUCCUACAACUACCAGGAACUGGUCGAAAAUAAGACUGUUCCAAAUCGCUUCACACCUGACUAUCCAGGCGGCUCUCACUUAUACCUUCACGUGGACAGCCUGGAGCCUGAAGACUCAGCCAUGUAUCUCUGUGCCAGCAGCAGAGACACAGCCUCGCAGAUGUUUGAAAUUAUCAGGCUUCAGGCUCAGAGUUCAAUGCCUCUGGAGUGCAGCUCUACACUGGCCUUUAGAGAGGAGAGUGGGUCCUGGCUGAUUCAUUCGGGUCUUAACCUGGCCCAGCCUUCCUGUAGCCCAUGUUCCUCAAGAGCCCCCUCAGCUGCACUAUAA